CCUACGGGAGGCUGCAGUGGGGAAUAUUGGACAAUGGGCGAAAGCCUGAUCCAGCCAUGCCGCGUGUGUGAAGAAGGCCUUCGGGUUGUAAAGCACUUUCAGUGGGGAAGAAAGCCUUGUGGCUAAUACCCUCGAGGAAGGACAUCACCCACAGAAGAAGCACCGGCUAACUCCGUGCCAGCAGCGGCGGUAAUACGGAGGGUGCGAGCGUUAAUCGGAAUUACUGGGCGUAAAGCGCGCGUAGGCGGUCUGAUAAGCCGGUUGUGAAAGCCCCGGGCUCAACCUGGGAACGGCAUCCGGAACUGUCAGGCUAGAGUGCAGGAGAGGAAGGUAGAAUUCCCGGUGUAGCGGUGAAAUGCGUAGAGAUCGGGAGGAAUACCAGUGGCGAAGGCGGCCUUCUGGACUGACACUGACGCUGAGGUGCGAAAGCGUGGGUAGCAAACAGGAUUAGAUACCCUGGUAGUC
rnacentral:rRNA from 1 species